rnacentral:lncRNA from 1 species
AAUUCAAUUUUUGUACGGGAGAAAAGAUUCAAUAGUUGAUUGGCCUGUAAAGCUAUGAAAUUUAUUCAAAAAUAGAAGUAGGAGCUUCAAGAAAAUCCAACUGGUCGGAGGAACUCACACAAAAAAAUAAUAAUUUAUAUCAACUGUAGAUUGGGCUGUUACAAGAACUCCCACACAAAAAAUAUUUUGAUAUGUAUUUGAUUGUAGUUGGUUGAUGGGUGUAAAAAAAAAAAA